AUAGUACUCCCUCCAUUCUAAAAUUCUUGUCUUAGGUUUGUCGGAUGUAUCUAAAUACUAAAACAUGAAUACAUUUAUAUCUAGACAAAUUUAAGACAAAAACUUUGAAACGGAGGAAGUACUUU
rfam:Hordeum vulgare subsp. vulgare, WGS project CAJW01000000 data, contig: morex_contig_57521